GUAAAUAAUUUUUGUAGCGUAAAAGCUAAAUAAAUUCAGACAUACUGUAAUACAGAUAACCAAAGUAUAAAAUUUAAUUUACAGUAACACGUGGGCCCACGAAUGACCAAAAGUAUCAAAAGCGGCAAACCUACAGUUUUUGAGGAUGCAAGUCCAACUGUAGCCCUCAACAAAAUGAGCUAUCUACCGACUAUCCUGAGCCUGAAAUGGGUGAAAAUGAGGGUGGUAAGAUUAUAUAAUCCUAGUGAGUAAACAAAUACCAUCUAAAAUAUCUAAAGCUGAGUAAAUAGAGACAGAUUAAAAUAGAUCAUCAUACUUUAAUUCAUCACCUUUCAACUCAUUUCAAUCAAAUAAAAUCAAUUCAUAAAAAUCGAGUAAUCAACAUAGCUUAUGAAUUUCUUAAAACUUUGGCUCGUGCCAAAAUCAUUCUCAUACUCAGUUAUUAGGGAUACCUUGGUCUGGGGCUAUCCCAACCGAGUUCGCCAAGGCUGUUAAAAAGUCAUAUACGCAUAAAUCAUGUUUUUAUUUUUGAAAACAUAGUCGUUCCUUGGCGUUGGCUGAGUUCACCCUCACAUGGUGGUUUGGCGUGAAGUGAACUCUAAAGUUCCACCUCGGGAGUUACCCUACGCGCCUCUCCGACCGAGGUACGAUAUAACAAGAUUCCGUGCCCCUCAAAAAGGCUAGUCCAUAGAACCCGCCCACUGUAGCAAGCUAAACCCACCAUUUCAAUAAUAAUUCAACAGCAUAACAUGGCAAUUUUAUCAUUAUCUAGCCUAUCAAGGUAAACAACAAUUUAUACAUUUUCAACACAAAUACCCAUCUAGCCAUUGAUGCCUGCAUUAUCAUAAGCCAUUCAAUUCAAACCAUGAUUUAUAACACAGCAAUUAGUCUCCAAUUACUCUAUUUUCAAAACCAUCAUUCAAUUUUAAGACAAUUUAUAAAAUCAUUUCAUUUAAUCACAUUUUGCUUAUAAAACAUAAAGAUUUGCCAUUUAAACUCAUUUUCCAUAAAAUCACAAAAAUGAAUUAAAAUUCACUUCAGAUAAUCAAGAUGAUGAUAAGGUUACUCACUAUUUCGAGAGUCGAAUUUCGAGUAUUCCGAUUCUUGAUCCUCGGAUACUAUCUCUUUACUUUUUCUAGAAUGCUCACCACUUAGACAUAAUGCACAAUAAGCCAUUUACUACAUUUGUGUUAAAUUGUUAUAAAACCAAUUCAGGCUUUAUACUAAUGCAUGAAAUGGAAUGCAAAUUAUUCGGAUUAUCGUCUAAACACGGUGUUCUACACAAAUUCAAUUGUGUACCUAAAUAAAAUGGUAUUAGCCUAAUUCGAUCUAUCACCCGAUUAAUUGUCCAAUAUGUCAAAUUUAACUCCAAUUAACUCCAUUUUUCUUCCAAUUCUCCAAACUAUCAAACACAAGUCAAAUAGCAUAAAAUUUAGCAAAAUCAUCUUCACAUUUUCUCUUGGGAAUUUUGACCAUAGUGGGUGCAUCAACACUAUAAUUUUUCAAGCUUGAUUCUCACACCAUAAAUCACUAAUUCCUAACCAAAUCACUUGAAAUAAAAUCAAAAUCAUCAUCAAUAUUCUACAUGGAGAAUUCGGCCAAUGAUGGGUGAUGGGAGGAAGUGAAUUUUUCUUGUUGGCUUUUCAUACUACACAUCACUAACUAACUAAAAACACUAAAAUACAUUGAAAUCUAACCAAAUCAAGCAUCAAAACCUCACUCUAAGUGUUCGGCCAGCAUGGGAUUCAUCAUGACAUCAUGUGAUUCAACCAUGAAAAAUAAGAAAAAAUGUUUAAGAAAGAGAGAUCUCAAGCUUAAUUGAAAAAUCUUACCUUUUUUUCACUUGUUUCCUUGAAUUUUCACACUUUUCCCUUAAAUUUUUCCACCUAGGGUUUUGUUCUUCCUUUUCUUCCUUUGUUCUUGCUUUGGCCGGCCAUAAGAAUGAGAA
rnacentral:lncRNA from 1 species